GACACAGCCGGGAUUUCCAGCCGGCGCUUUUGCACAUCCCACUUCUUCAGAUCCCUUCGGCAACUGCGAAGUCGCCUGGAUUUCCCAGCAACCUGCAUUCCAUUUGUCUCAUUGACCCUACUGCAUUUUUCCUUCGCAUCAUUAAAAAGGAUGUAAUGUACAGAAAAGCACAGACAGACCUAAACUCCAAUGCCAACCAUGCCAUCUGCUGAUUAUAAGACAGUGGAACAGAGUGCAUACAGAAAGAGCUCAGAAGUGAAAGAUGCGCAGAGUGCCCACAGUGGCAGCAACUAGCUGAGGGGCCUUCAGAUCGCAGCCUUCCGGACCACCGUUAUAACAGGUAGAGAUAUGCAAGGUUAAGUCCAGCUAUUGAAUUUUUAAAACCUAAAUUACACCUCUUCUCAACCUCUGCCUCCUCCAAGGAGCCUUACCUGAGGAGACAUCCUUGUCUGGUAUUAGUGACAUCAUUAAAUAACAUUCCCAAUGGAGGUAUAUGACGACUUCUUAUACAUGCCCAGAAUAGUGAUUCACAAAGUUGUGACACAUACACAUCACCCUGUAGAAAUUAUCAAAUUACUCUUUUGGUAAUUUUUACUGUUUUGGUAAUUUUUUUGUACCCUUUUUACUCUAAAGGGUAAAACCGGCAGGUUUCUCUAUUUAUAUUUCAUUAGAAUGAAAAGUCAUUACCUGUGUUUUCGU
rnacentral:lncRNA from 1 species